rnacentral:lncRNA from 1 species
CUGCAAAAGAUACCCAUCAACAAAAACAUCUCCGAUUUGUUUUUAAAAAUUAUGGUUGCGGUGGGGCAGAGCGAUGUUACCAGAUCCGACGAUGGAGACGAGGGUGGAGGUAGAGAGGAUUAACAAUUACAAAAAAAAACGAAGGGUCUCCCAUAGUCGAUUCCAACGCCUUUGAUGGCCACCGAAUAUAACGAAUAAAUCGAAUGUGCUAUGCAUAAAAUAAAAUAAUCCCGAUGUCCGCAACUAUUUCAUACAUAAAGACAAACACAAAACAAUUCUAUAAAAAUUCAAAUCAGAACACACAAUAAUAUCCAAAAUUUGUAAUAACAUCAACAAAUUGCUGAUUUUCUAUUUAAACAAACGCAAGACUCAAAUCAGAAAAUUAUUCAACAAAUAAGACAUGAUAGAAAUCGAAUCAUACUGCAAUUUGACAAUUGAAUCAAGACAACAACAUCAUAACAAUUAAUCUAAAAAAUCAAUCAGUUGCAAAAUAAAAAUGAGUAAAUAAUGAAGGAAUUUGACAGACAAACCUAAAUAAUCUCGUUUGCUUCGAUUCGGAUCUCGUCGUCACCUUUGUUACACCGCCAUGAAGGCUAAGAGGUCGUCGACGUCGGAUCGGAGUCAUGUGACGCUGGAAGUUGUUCCCAAAAAACGCCGGAGAAAUGGAUUGAAGAAGAAGCUUCGUCAUCUUCUUCAUAAUUGCCCUUAACCAUGGGAUUCGCACAUAAAAAGGCUAUUGGGAGAGAAGAAGAGGGAUGAAAAAAAAUAUAGAUCGUGAGGCGGUGGUGGGGAGAGGCUGCGUGGCUGAGGUGCAGAUCUGUGGCGAGGGAGAGAAAAAGAGAGAGAUGCGGCUGGUGAAGAAAAGUGAGGGGAAAAAUAGGGUUAAUGAUAUUUAAGGGUAAUAUAGAGAUAUCCCUAAAAUUUGAAUUUUUGGUAAAUUAAAAUAUAUAAUGAGGGGGGUUUUCACUAAUAUGGAAAAUGAUCUUAUAUCCAUCCUAAUAUAACUAAAUGUGUUUGGGGGUUUUCAAUAAUAAUCCCUAAUAUUAUAUCCAUCAUAAUACAGUAUACUCAAAUGUAUUGGGGGGUU